GCGACAUGGGAUGCAUGAAUCUUAUCAAUCACCACUGGACCAGGAUUUGCAAGAACAAGCUGCGGGGCAAGUUUGGAGGAAACAGCAAAAGAAAUCAUGAGCAGACAGAUAAGAACACAGACUCCUAUUUAUAAACAAAAUGAUAGAGCAAAAGUGUGAAGGGCUGAAAUAAACCACUAGGAGCGGUUUCUAGUUGCAUGCAGAAGCAAACCUAUGGCCCAACUUGCUUUUCACCUAAUGUUGAGAAUUUUGUGAGGACAACAAAAAG